CCUACGGGAGGCAGCAGUGGGGGAUAUUGCACAAUGGGGGAAACCCUGAUGCCGCGACGCCGCGUGGGUGAAGAAGUAUUUCGGUAUGUAACGCCCUAUCAGCAGGGAAGAAAGAAGACGGUACCUGACUAAGAAGCCCCGGCUAACUACGUGCCAGCAGCCGCGGUAAUACGUAGGGGGCGAGCGUUAUCCGGAUUCACUGGGUGUAAAGGGAGCGUAGACGGCCGUGCAAGCCAGGAGUGAAAGCCCGGGGCCCAACCCCGGGACUGCUCUUGGAACUGUGCGGCUGGAGUGCGGGAGGGGCAGGCGGAAUUCCUGGUGUAGCGGUGAAAUGCGUAGAUAUCAGGAGGAACACCGGCGGCGAAGGCGGCCUGCUGGACCGCGACUGACGUUGAGGCUCGAAAGCGUGGGGAGCGAACAGGAUUAGAUACCCUUGUAGUC
rnacentral:rRNA from 1 species